GUUCGGGUUGUCAUGCCAAUGGCACUGCCCGGUAGCUAAAUGCGGAAGAGAUAAGUGCUGAAAGCAUCUAAGCACGAAACUUGCCCCGAGAUGAGUUCUCCCUGAGACUUUAAGUCUCCUGAAGGAACGUUAAAGACGAUGACGUUGAUAGGCCGGGUGUGUAAGCGCAGCGAUGCGUUGAGCUAACCGGUACUAAUGAACCGUGAGGCUUAACCUU
rnacentral:rRNA from 1 species